ensembl:lncRNA
UCCAGAACCAGAAGAUGCUGCAGGACUUUCAGAGAGCACAAGACAUGCUCAAUGACAUGGUGGCCCGCACCGAAGCCAUGAACCCUAUACGGGUUCAGUAUGAACAGUAUCUGGAAGAGAACUUCCCACAAUGGCAGCAAAGACUCAAAAGACAUAAGAGUUUCUGAAAACUCAAAGUUGCUUUUUAUGGGAAGGUCAUUUCUUUUAAAAGGUGUCAUGACAAACAUGAACAAAACUCAGGUACUACAGCACUUAAAGAACAAUAUUCAGCAGAAGUCUGACUUUAGAGGCAAUCUUCUGUCCUCCAAUUUUCCAGAACCAUCUCAGCCUUCUCAUAUAUGCUAAACACUCAUCAGACAGGGAAAGACAUCAAGCAAAAUACUGAAAGACGCAACCAUCAUCCUUAAAUUCCACCCACUUGGUUAACUGGCUCUCAGUCUUUUAUUUCCGAACUCCCCCAAAACAGUAUCCCACAGGAUUACAAAAACCUUCACAACAUUCAAGCCUUGAAUCAUCC